UGGCCAGUAUUUUGUGUGUAUGUUUCACAGGCUAUUGUUGUAUAUAAACUAUUUGCUGUUGUGCUGUUUUAAUAAAAUUAUAUUUUCUUACAAAAAAAAGGACAAUACUAACGAAAAGUUGUACUAAUUCACCAUUUCGUCCUAGUUGCACAAAAAAUGAGUGACAAUAACAUAAAUAUUUGUUAACUUCCUGAUAGCAAAGAGACCAUAGUAUCAAUUAUUAG
rnacentral:lncRNA from 1 species